UGUGUAUGCAGCCUCUCUUCGGAGCACUGGUGACAGGUGGUGCAUGGUUGUCGUCAGCUCGUGUCGUGAGAUGUUGGGUUAAGUCCCGCAACGAGCGCAACCCCUGUCCUUAGUAGCCAGCAUUUAAGAUGGGCACUCUAGGGAGACUGCCAGGGAUAACCUGGAGGAAGGCGGGGAUGACGUCAAAUCAUCAUGCCCCUUAUGACUUGGGCUACACACGUGCUACAAUGGCGUAAACAAAGGGAAGCAAAUCCGUGAGGCCGAGCAAAUCCCAAAAAUAACGUCUCAGUUCGGACUGUAGUCUGCAACUCGACUACACGAAGCUGGAAUCGCUAGUAAUCGCGAAUCAGAAUGUCGCGGUGAAUACGUUCCCGGGUCUUGUACACACCGA
rnacentral:rRNA from 1 species